CACGUAGGGGGCAAGCGUUGUCCGGAUUUAUUGGGCGUAAAGAGCUCGUAGGCGGUUCGGUAAGUCAGGUGUGAAACCUCCAGGCUCAACCUGGAGACGCCACCUGAUACUGCUGUGACUCGAGUCCGGUAGGGGAGCGUGGAAUUCCUGGUGUAGCGGUGAAAUGCGCAGAUAUCGGGAGGAACACCAGUGGCGAAGGCGGUUGCCUGGAGCUUUGCUGACGCUGAGGCGCGAAAGCGUGGGGAGCGAUCCGG
rnacentral:rRNA from 1 species